UACGUAGGGGGCAAGCGUUGUCCGGAAGUAUUGGGCGUAAAGAGCGUGUAGGCGGCCAGAUAAGUCCGCUGUGAAAUCUCGAGGCUCAACUUCGAGCUGUCGGUGGAAACUAUCUGGCUAGAGUCCGGAAGAGGAGAAUGGAAUUCCUGGUGUAGCGGUGAAAUGCGCAGAUAUCAGGAAGAACACCCGUGGCGAAGGCGGUUCUCUGGGACGGUACUGACGCUGAGACGCGAAAUCGUGGGGAGCGAACAGG
rnacentral:rRNA from 1 species